GGGGUUGUGGCUCAAUGGUAGAGUGCUUGCCUAGCAUGUGUGAGGUACUGGGUUCAAUUCUCAGCACCA
rnacentral:tRNA from 1 species